GUGGUGAUGACCCUUCCCCUCCCUGAGAGGGUGAUGAACACACCGGUAGGCUGAUAA
rnacentral:snoRNA from 1 species